rnacentral:rRNA from 1 species
UACGAAGGGUGCAACCGUUGCUCGGAAUCAUUGGGCGUAAAGCGCACGUAGGCGGCCUCGCAAGUCGGACGUGAAAUCCCUCAGCUCAACUGAGGACGUGCAUCCGAAACUGCAAGGCUUGAGUACUGAAGAGGAUCGCGGAAUUCCCGGUGUAGAGGUGAAAUUCGUAGAUAUCGGGAGGAACACCAGUGGCGAAGGCGGCGAUCUGGGCAGAUACUGACGCUGAGGUGCGAAAGCGUGGGGAGCAAACAGG